rnacentral:rRNA from 1 species
GAUGAACGCUGGCGGCGUGCCUAAUACAUGCAAGUCGAGCGAACAGACGAGGAGCUUGCUCCUCUGACGUUAGCGGCGGACGGGUGAGUAACACGUGGAUAACCUACCUAUAAGACUAGGAUAACUUCGGGAAACCGGAGCUAAUACCGGAUAAUAUAUUGAACCGCAUGGUUCAAUAGUGAAAGACGGUUUUGCUGUCACUUAUAGAUGGAUCCGCGCCGCAUUAGCUAGUUGGUAAGGUAACGGCUUACCAAGGCAACGAUGCGUAGCCGACCUGAGAGGGUGAUCGGCCACACUGGAACUGAGACACGGUCCAGACUCCUACGGGAGGCAGCAGUAGGGAAUCUUCCGCAAUGGGCGAAAGCUUGACGGAGCAACGCCGCGUGAGUGAUGAAGGUCUUCGGAUCGUAAAACUCUGUUAUUAGGGAAGAACAAAUGUGUAAGUAACUAUGCACGUCUUGACGGUACCUAAUCAGAAAGCCACGGCUAACUGCGUG